rnacentral:lncRNA from 1 species
CAAUUUGUUUUUAAUACUCAUGUUUUGUCCUCUAUUUAAAAAUCUGGUUCUGGUCUCUUUCCUGUCCCAGGAUUCGGUGAAUUCCUGUGCGGUUAUGGUGGUCCAGAGCUAAGAAGAAACUCCUGUGCUAAGACAGGCUAUGCUGGGCAAGACUGCUGCAUCACUAACAGCCAAAAAAGCAAUAAAAAAAGAAAAAGAAGACAAUCAAGCUUUCUAACUAUGGAGGAAAUUCUUGAACCACAAAGUCAGGCUUUUUCUGUAUGGAUAUAGGACUCAAGUUCAUCUCCCUAAUCUUCAGGUCUCUUAUGUGUGGAAACAAGGUUGUUCUUGCAGUGCCAUGGAAUUGCAUAUCGCAAAAGAAGAAGCUGGAUCAAAGCCAAUUUUCAAUUUAUGUAAUCUGCUUUCAAGGCAAAACCCAGAGUCAUUUAAAGCACUAUUCAGUUUCCCUAAAGCCAUCUAGUCUGUCCUUUUCUGGGUCUAUUUCAUUGUCCAUCUAGAGGGUUUGCCUCAAAUAGACAUCAGUCCUUGUGCUUUCUCCUUUACAGGACUUUUGAGAGGAGUGUUGAGUUAAUUAUAAAGCAUGACAAAUAUUAAUAAAUAAUAUUGUUAAUUAUAUUAUUAUUACCUU